UACGGAGGGGGCUAGCGUUGUUCGGAAUUACUUGGGCGUAAAGAGCGUGUAGGCGGUUCGGUAAGUCCGCUGUGAAAGUCCAGGGCUCAACCCUGGAAAUGCCAGUGGAAACUGCCGAGCUAGAGUCCGGGAGAGGCGAGUGGAAUUCCUGGUGUAGCGGUGAAAUGCGCAGAUAUCAAGGAGGAACACCAAUGGCGAAGGCAGCUCGCUGGAACGGUACUGACGCUGAGGAGCGAAAGCGUGGGGAGCGAACAGG
rnacentral:rRNA from 1 species